rnacentral:misc_RNA from 1 species
GAUGAAGAACGUAGCGAAAUGCGAUAAGUAAUGUGAAUUGCAGAAUUCAGUGAAUCAUCGAAUCUUUGAACGCACAUUGCGCCCCCUGGUAUUCCGGGGGGCAUGCCUGUCCGAGCGUCAUUACAACCAUCAAGCCCCAGCGCUUGUGUUGGGGGCCUGCGGCUGCCGCAGCCCCCUAAAAGCAGUGGCGGGCUCGCUAUCACACCGAGUGCAGUAGUUCAUCUUCUCUCCGGUCUUGUGAGGCGGGUUCCGGCCGUGAAACACCCCACUACAUUCAAGGUUGACCUCGGAUCAGGUAGGAAUACCCGCUGAACUUAAGCAUAUCAAUAAGCGGAGGA